rnacentral:rRNA from 1 species
GGGGCUUUUCGAGUUUCACUCCCAACCCCUGUGAACAUACCUAUACGUUGCCUCGGCGGAUCAGCCCGCGCCCCGUAAAACGGGACGGCCCGCCCGAGGACCCCUAAACUCUGUUUUUAGUGGAACUUCUGAGUAAAACAAACAAAUAAAUCAAAACUUUCAACAACGGAUCUCUUGGUUCUGGCAUCGAUGAAGAACGCAGCAAAAUGCGAUAAGUAAUGUGAAUUGCAGAAUUCAGUGAAUCAUCGAAUCUUUGAACGCACAUUGCGCCCGCCAGUAUUCUGGCGGGCAUGCCUGUUCGAGCGUCAUUUCAACCCUCAAGCUCAGCUUGGUGUUGGGACUCGCGGUAACCCGCGUUCCCCAAAUCGAUUGGCGGUCACGUCGAGCUUCCAUAGCGUAGUAAUCAUACACCUCGUUACUGGUAAUCGUCGCGGCCACGCCGUAAAACCCCAACUUCUGAAUGUUGACCUCGGAUCAGGUAGGAAUACCCGCUGAACUUAAGCAUAUCAAAAGUCGGAGGAA